rnacentral:rRNA from 1 species
UUCCGUAGGGUGAACCUGCGG